GUGUGUGUAGCAGUGGGCAGGUGUGAGCGGGAUUGUGCAGGUGUGGGUGGGAGUGAGCGGGUGUGAGCGGGAGUGGGCAAGUGUGCGUGGGAGUAUGCAGGUGUCGUCAGGAGUGAGCAGGUGUGGGUGGAAGUGAGCAGACUGGUCAUGUGUGAGUGGCAGUGGGCAGGUGUGAGGCGGAGUGUGCAGGUGUGGUUGGGAGUGUGUAGGUGUGAGCGGGAGUGUGGAGGUGUGAGAGGGAGUGCGCAGGUGUGGGUGGGAGUGUGCAGGAGUGGUCAGGUGUGGUCAGGAGUGGGCAGGUGUGAGCGGGGGUGAGCAAGUGUGAGCAGCAGUGAGCAGAUGUGAGCGGUAGUGGUCAGGUGUGAGUGGUAGUGGGCAGGUGUGGGUGGAAGUGUGCAGGUGUGAGUGAGAGUAGGCAGGUGUGGGUGGGAAUGUGCAGGUGUGAGUGAGAGUGGGCAGGUGUCAGCGGGAGUGGGCAGGUGUGUGUGGGAGUGAGCAGGAGUUGUCAGGUGUGGGCGGGAGUGGGCAGGUGUGGGCGGUAAUGAGCAGGAGUGGUCAGGUGUGAGCGGGAGUGAGCAGGAGUGGUCAGGUGUGAGCGGGAGUGGGCAGGUGUGAGCGUGAGUAUGCAGGUGUGGGUGGGAGUGUGCAGAUGUGGUCAGGAGUGGGCAGGUGUGGGUGGGAGUGAGCAGGAGUGGUCAGGUGUGAGUGGGAAUGGGCAGGUGUGAGCAGGUGUGGGCAGGUGUGAGUCUGCAGCCGCUGUGAUGUGAUGUAACGGUGCCAUCCGACUUCCCGCGUCCUCCGCAUGAGGCAUCCAUAGGGUGCAGAUGUCUCUGGGCCGGCCAUGCCCAG